AAUCCCUGGCAAUGGGCAAAGAGACACCUUGUUGGCAAUAUUGUUCUUAUAUAAAUCAGGAGCAGAGCAGGGCAGUCCUUUGUUUAUCCUAGCUUGAUGCCUGACAUGGUGGCCCAAACUGUUUUAUGCCUAUGUCUCAUAA